rnacentral:snRNA from 1 species
AUUAGCAUGGCCCCUGCACAAGGAUGACAUGCAAAAUCGUGAAGCGUUCCAUAUU